rnacentral:SRP_RNA from 1 species
GCCGAGUUUACUAACGAAAACUUAUAACCCAAGUGGGGGCAACAAGGUGUUGGGACGUUGGUUCAGCCUCUGCGGGUUGGGUCCGUCGUGGCUCUAUUCUGGCCUGCCCAUUCCAAGCUGGGAGAGUUGGCCCGUGUGGCUUGAGCGAAGGCUCAGGCUUCAUGGUUCCUAGAGUGGAGGGCACUGCGUAAGGCUGGCUUCACAGAGCAACGAUUACUUCCCGCUCCCGGCAGUGGAAGGAUAACAGGUCGGUGCCACCCGGAUCCACUAUGGCCCGCUGGACUGUUCCAAUUGAACCAACAUUUUUUUU